rnacentral:pre_miRNA from 1 species
AUACAAAUUACUUGAGGAUCUCGUUAGAAUGCAGAUUCUGAUUCAAUAACUGGGACAGCAUGGAGAUUCUGCAUUUCUAACAAGCUCCCGGUAAUACCCAA